CGACUCCGUGAAGUCGGAAUCGCUAGUAAUCGCGAAUCAGAAUGUCGCGGUGAAUACGUUCCCGGGCCUUGUACACACCGCCCGUCACACCAUGGGAGUGGGUUGCACCAGAAGUAGAUAGCUUAACCUUCGGGAGGGCGUUUACCACGGUGUGAUUCAUGACUGGGGUGAAGUCGUAACAAGGUAACCCUAGGGGAACCUGGGGUUGGAUCACCUCCUUACCUUAA
rnacentral:rRNA from 1 species